UACACACAGUUUAAUCCUACUAGAUUCACAUUUCACUACUGACAAAGAUUUGUAUUCUGCAAACGUGAAGAAAAACGUGUAAGUUUACAAAUAAUUAAAUACUACUACAAAUCGUCCUAGUACUUUUGAGCUGGUUUUACAUCUGAGACAUACUAAUAAUCUGCAGGCAGAGUCCAUUUUGUAAAUAACCAUUGCUACGUACCUUACACGUAUUCUUACUUAAUUCCUCAAAGAAUUUUAGCAGAACAGUAAGCUGUGCUCCCCUCUCCCAAACCACUUGGGUUGAUAUUUAAGCAUACUGGGCUUUGACUUCAGAAAUCACUAUUCAUGAGGCCUAUGGUUUCUGUCCACUCAUCAGCAAUGUUAGGAUUAGCUCUGCACAAUCUCUCCCUCACUCACACAAUCCCCAAGUUGCCAGUCUGGCACCACAGGCUCUAGUUUAUUCUCCAGCACACCACUUUGUGUCCUCAGUCUCUCAAUUCCAGCAAAAGGGGAAGGAAGGUUUUCAAAUGGAACCAAGGAGCUCUCUGCCUAAGGAGGAGGCAGCAGCACCCAUUUCUCUGUGGCAAAAACAAUGCUACCUCUUACCCAACUAGUUUAAUUUUUCCUCUAGACACAUAGCUAAACUCCGUUUCCCAGCCUCCCCUGAUAUUCAGGCUGGGCCAAGUGACUUAUUUCUGGCCUGGAAAAAAAAUAAAACAAAGCAAAUUGAUGUUCCCAUCCUGCAGAGCCCCUGGAAGUCACAUCUGCAGAUGGCAGAAACACAGGAUGGAAAAAGCGUAGGUCUCCAAAUGACCACAUGGAGCAGAGCCCGCACCCCCGACCCCAGCCCCAUCCCCAAAGACUAGCACUGAACUAAGAAAAUAAACCUUUAAUGGGCUGAGCCACUUAAAUUGUGAGUAGUUUAUUAGCCUAUCCUAAUGAAUUCUGCUCUUCCAAAAAAUUAUCUAACAUCUUUAUUUAAAAAAAUCACCAAUAAUAAAGCAUCGCUUUACAACAAACUAGAUUUAAACUGGUAAAAAAUAUUAUGACCAAAAGAUGCGCUUGCAUCCUGAAAAGUACAUGAACCUAGAUUCACAUGAAUAAUUCCUAGAGAUCCAACUUAAACCACACUUCUAUUACAUAGCCAAUUAACACUCGUUCACCUUCAAAAAUACAUCUAUCUAAUAAACAGAGUCUACCAAGGGAUAUUCUCCAAAAACUCUAAGUUUAAAUUCGAGCAAAAUAAUAAUGAACUAAUUUUACAGUACACAAUUUGCUCUCAGAGUUUGGAGUGCUGAAUUACAGAGCUGGAAGGAAAUGUAAGUAUUUUUUAAUCCAACUCCUGCCUGAGAGCCAGCUCAAAACCCUCCCACAAAACACCUGACAUCUCUCUGUCCAGGCUCCUUGUUACAAUCAUAAUGAAAACAGCCUAGGAAAACAUGGGUUUUUUAACAUCAGGAGCAAGACCCUGGGCUGGUUCUUUGCCUGCUUGCUAGGACGUUCGCAGGGGUGCGGUGCUACCAGGGCAGGGGUGCCUGUCUCUCCCAACGCAGACCUGAUCUCCGGAGGCUUCGAGAGCAUGGUUCACAUCAUGUCCAGCUGCCUCUCCCUCAUCCCACAGUGAAUCCUGUAGCAACCCAUCCUGUAACCAAGCCACCCAAAGCUCUGCUGUAGAAAAACACACAGAACACACGGAAGCAAGGGCCAGAAAGACCCUCUGGGUGGGGCAGCACUUAGGCUGGAAACCAGAAUGGGCCCUAGAAUUGCUCUGAGCAGUGGUGGGAUGCCCUGCAGGGUGCCUGGAGUCACAGCCUGGGGGUCAACAGAUGGGGCAGGUCUCUGAUGAUGACGGAAUCCCAUCAUCUCUCUACAGCUACAACUGUGUCUACAAUCGUCAAGAUAUGGACAGCGGCACCGCUUUUU
rnacentral:lncRNA from 1 species